GUGCCAGCAGCCGCGGUAAUACCGGCAGCAUGAGUGAUGGCCGCUAUUAUUGGGCCUAAAGCGUCCGUAGCCGGCCGGGCAAGUCCGUCGGGAAAUCCACUCGCCCAACGAGUGGGCGUCCGACGGAAACUGCACAGCUUGGGACCGGAGGGCUCGAAGGGUACGUUCGGGGUAGGAGUGAAAUCCCAUAAUCCCGCACGGACCACCGAUGGCGAAAGCACUUCGAGAAAACGGAUCCGAUAGUGAGGGACGAAAGCCAGGGUCUCCAACCGGAUUAGAUACCCUUGUAGUCC
rnacentral:rRNA from 1 species